rnacentral:rRNA from 1 species
GUUGUAUGGUUAAGUGACAAAGCGUAUACGGUGGAUGCCUUGGCAGUUAGAGGCGAUGAAGGACGUGUAAGUCUGCGAAAAGCUGUGGUGAGCUGACAAAAAGCAUUUGAGCCACAGAUGUCCGAAUGGGGAAACCCACACAUUUAUGUGUAUCAUUAACUGAAUACAUAGGUUAAUGAGGCGAACGUAGGGAACUGAAACAUCUAAGUACCUAUAGGAAAAGAAAUCAACCGAGAUUCCCUUAGUAGCGGCGAGCGAACGGGGAGUAGCCCUUAAGCUAUAUUGGUGUUAGUGGAAGGCUCUGGAAAGUGCCACGAUACUGGGUGAUAGUCCCGUACAUGACAAUGCCAUUAUAGUGAAAACGAGUAGGUCGGGACACGUGUUAUCCUGACUGAAUAUGGGGGGACCAUCCUCCAAGGCUAAAUACUCCUAACUGACCGAUAGUGAACCAGUACCGUGAGGGAAAGGCGAAAAGAACCCCUGUGAGGGGAGUGAAACAGAACCUGAAACCGUAUACGUACAAGCAGUGGGAGCCUCUCUUUAUGGGGGGUGACUGCGUACCUUUUGUAUAAUGGGUCAGCGACUUAUAUUUAGUAGCAAGGUUAAGUGAAUAACGGAGCCGUAGCGAAAGCGAGUGUUAACUGCG